rnacentral:rRNA from 1 species
CAGUCGCCACGGUAAUACGGAGGGCGUGAGCGUUACCCGGAUUUACUGGGCGUAAAGGGCGCGUAGGCGGCCUGGGGCGUCCCAUGUGAAAGGCCACGGCUCAACCGUGGAGGAGCGUGGGAUACGCUCAGGCUAGAGGGUGGGAGAGGGUGGUGGAAUUCCUGGAGUAGCGGUGAAAUGCGCAGAUACCGGGAGGAACGCCGAUGGCGAAGGCAGCCACCUGGUCCACUUCUGACGCUGAGGCGCGAAAGCGUUGGGAGCAAACCGGAUUAGAUACCCGCGUAGUCCCUGUCUCUUAUAC